CAGGUGAGACAGUUGAGAAAAAGAGGAAAACUGGUUUUCCCUCUUUUCCGGUGUGUGUGUGUGUGUGUGCGUGUGAGAGAGAGAUUAGAGGGCGGGGAGGGGAGAAGAGAGGAAGCAAGCUAACCGGAGAGAGAGCAGCUUGAGCUGAGCUUUCACUCACCGUCCACCACUGCUGUUUGCUGCCAUCGCAGACUUGCCACUGACUUCCACCCCUCCAGAUCCAGCAGGGUGUCUGCUGCUCUCCUGAUCCAGCGAGGUGCUCAUUGCCACUCCUGAUCGGGCUAAAGGCUCUCUAUCGUUCCUGCACAGCUAAGUGCCCGGGUUUGUCCUAAUUGAGCUGAACACUAGUCUCUCGGUUCCAUGGUUCUCUUCCGUGACCCAUGGCUUCUAAUAGAGCUAUAACACUCACUGCAUGGCCCAAGGUUCCAUUCCUUGGAAUCCAUGAGUCCAAGAACCCCAGGUCAGAGAACAAAAGGCUUGCUGCCAUCUUGGGAGUGGCCCGCCACAUCUUGGGAGAGCUAAGAACAAAGACCUGCCCGUAACAUUUGGUGGUAACCGUAUGGGAAUUCUCCAAAGCAACAUGAAGUUCGCAGCCAUGCCAGCCAUUUUGUGCUUGUAAGGGAAGCUCCUGCCAGCCAACUGGGAAAACAGAGCAGAGAUCACAAGAGCCCAGCCUUUGCUGACACCAUGAGCUGCUGGAAUCGCCUACCUCUGGAUGUCUUGCUUUGUGAAAUAAAC
rnacentral:lncRNA from 10 species